UAAGUCUGUAACAUCGGCUCAGCAAAAACGUGCCGCUCACUGUCCACAUACACAAUCCCAGGGAGAAUAAUAAGCACAAACCUUUACGUGAGAGCCCAUAUUGACGGCCGCUAAGCUGGAGAUCGUUGGGGAUCACUGGUCUUCACUGUGACCCUAAUCUGCUUAAUUGCAUGAAGCUGCUGAACCAGUGUCUCCGCCUGUGGCCAGGUGGCACAAACCAAACAAACACAGGAGCGAAGAGGCGACAAGGCGUUCCUCACGCUCUGCACAAUAUGAUUCAACAAAAACUCAAGCAAGACCUGUUCACCAAACCUGGGCGUCCCCAGCAAGAAGACACGGUGACCGUCCAGGUUAAAAAUACCCCGUUGCAUCUCAACGGUCAAAACCUCAGACUAGCUGCUAAAAAUGGCUGCAAUUCCAAAACACCUGGCCUCCAUCUGUCAGUGCACCGCCGAAAGGAAGCGGCGUCCCCGCCGCUGCGGGAGGGUACGGCGCCGUUGAGCGCGCUGCUGCUCAAGUCGUCCCUGCAGGACAGGGACGCCGAGAACCACCUCAUCAGACGCCCGCUGAAGCUCUCCCCGCUGGAGCUGCCCGAGGAGGUGAGGAGCGCUCAGAAGCAGAAGCUACAGUGCGCCCAGCGAGAAGUCAAACCCGCUUCCUGUUCGCCAGCCGAGCCCCAAACGGGGAGGAUGAGGUCCUGUGCGAGACAGGGACUGGUGAAAGCAGCGGGUUGCCCUUCGGCUUACACUGAGCCUCUCAAAGCCCAGCAGAAACACGCUGACGAGCAUCUGAAGGACGUGGUGUGUCGAGGCACCCCUGCUCCUCUCUGCAGAAAACCUGCCCCUCUUAUUCUUUCCCCGCGAGUUAAAGCGCGCGCGCGUGGCAGAGGGGGCGCGUCGCCUGAGCCCGGUUCACUCCAGCAGGAGACGUGGAGGAGGCGACCGAAGCUCUCCAGAGCCCCGUGCCUAGAAGACGAGCCGUCGGCCGCAGAGGACGGCGGCCGGGCCGGAGCGGCGCGAGGCGGAGGGCAGCGGCUGGAGAGAGCUGCAAGAAGGAAGACAACACCUGGAAAAGGCUUCAACGAGGCGCCGGCAGCCUCGCGGGAGCACGGAGGUGUCUGAAAGAGUCAUCAGAAGAACGGAGGGCAACAACGUGCUCCAUAGGCUCUGGAUCAGCAGUCAGCUGACGGUGGAAACAGUGGAUGAGUGCUUGAGAGUGAAGAAGGAGGAAAAGGCCCUCGAUCUCAAAACUUAACAAGGCAGCUUCUAUAGAGCAUCUCCAAGUAUAAUAUAAUGGCAUUUUCAAGAAUUUGAACUUUCAUAGACGUCUUACCCAUACUGUGUCUACUUUGUAUACAACAAGCAUCAUAUCCACUCCUAAGUUCGGUCUGAUGUAUUUGUGUUGUUCCAGCUUGCUGACAUUAACGUCAGUGAGUUUACUUCCUGAAAUGCAGUAGCUGAGUGUUGUUGCAGUUUAACGGCCACUGAUGCUCUUUUCUCUUCCUACUAUCUAUGACUCUAUGUAAUCUGCUUCAUUCCUUAUGUUUAUGUUCCUUAUUAAAUCAAUCAUGUAUUUACUUUAAAUAAAUGGCAGUACAGUUCAUCA
ensembl:lncRNA uncharacterized LOC114865641